ACUAAGCGUACACGGUGGAUGCCCUGGCAGUCAGAGGCGAUGAAGGACGUGCUAAUCUGCGAAAAGCGCCGGCGAGGUGAUAUGAACCCUUGACCCGGCGAUGUCCGAAUGGGGAAACCCAGUGCAAUUCGUUGCACUAUCGUUAACUGAAUACAUAGGUUAACGAGGCGAACCGGGGGAACUGAAACAUCUAAGUACCCCGAGGAAAAGAAAUCAACCGAGAUUCCCCCAGUAGCGGCGAGCGAACGGGGAGCAGCCCGGAGUCUGAAUCAGCUUGUGUGUUAGUGGAACGGUCUGGAAAGUCCGACGGUACAGGGUGAUAGUCCCGUACACGAAAGCACACAUGCUGUGAACUCGAAGAGUAGGGCGGGACACGUGGUAUCCUGUCUGAAUAUGGGGGGACCAUCCUCCAAGGCUAAAUACUCCUGACUGACCGAUAGUGAACCAGUACCGUGAGGGAAAGGCGAAAAGAACCCCGGCGAGGGGAGUGAAAAAGAACCUGAAACCGUGUACGUACAAGCAGUGGGAGCCUCUUUAUGGGGUGACUGCGUACCUUUUGUAUAAUGGGUCAGCGACUUAUAUUCUGUAGCAAGGUUAACCGUAUAGGGGAGCCGAAGGGAAACCGAGUCUUAACUGGGCGUUAAGUUGCAGGGUAUAGACCCGAAACCCGGUGAUCUAGCCAUGGGCAGGUUGAAGGUUGGGUAACACUAACUGGAGGACCGAACCGACUAAUGUUGAAAAAUUAGCGGAUGACCUGUGGCUGGGGGUGAAAGGCCAAUCAAACCGGGAGAUAGCUGGUUCUCCCCGAAAGCUAUUUAGGUAGCGCCUCGUGAACUCAUCUUCGGGGGUAGAGCACUGUUUCGGCUAGGGGGCCAUCCCGGCUUACCAACCCGAUGCAAACUACGAAUACCGAAGAAUGUUAUCACGGGAGACACACGGCGGGUGCUAACGUCCGUCGUGAAGAGGGAAACAACCCAGACCGCCAGCUAAGGUCCCAAAGUCAUGGUUAAGUGGGAAACGAUGUGGGAAGGCACAGACAGCCAGGAUGUUGGCUUAGAAGCAGCCAUCAUUUAAAGAAAGCGUAAUAGCUCACUGGUCGAGUCGGCCUGCGCGGAAGAUGUAACGGGGCUAAACCAUGCACCGAAGCUGCGGCAGCGACACUAUGUGUUGUUGGGUAGGGGAGCGUUCUGUAAGCCGUUGAAGGUGUGCUGUGAGGCAUGCUGGAGGUAUCAGAAGUGCGAAUGCUGACAUAAGUAACGAUAAAGCGGGUGAAAAGCCCGCUCGCCGGAAGACCAAGGGUUCCUGUCCAACGUUAAUCGGGGCAGGGUGAGUCGACCCCUAAGGCGAGGCCGAAAGGCGUAGUCGAUGGGAAACAGGUUAAUAUUCCUGUACUUGGUGUUACUGCGAAGGGGGGACGGAGAAGGCUAUGUCAGCCGGGCGACGGUUGUCCCGGUUUAAGCAUGUAGGCGGAGGUUCCAGGUAAAUCCGGUACCUUUUAACGCUGAGGUGUGAUGACGAGGCACUACGGUGCUGAAGUGAUAAAUGCCCUGCUUCCAGGAAAAGCCUCUAAGCAUCAGGUAACACGAAAUCGUACCCCAAACCGACACAGGUGGUCAGGUAGAGAAUACCAAGGCGCUUGAGAGAACUCGGGUGAAGGAACUAGGCAAAAUGGUGCCGUAACUUCGGGAGAAGGCACGCUGAUGUGUAGGUGAAGCCCCUGCGGGCGGAGCUGAAAUCAGUCGAAGAUACCAGCUGGCUGCAACUGUUUAUUAAAAACACAGCACUGUGCAAACACGAAAGUGGACGUAUACGGUGUGACGCCUGCCCGGUGCCGGAAGGUUAAUUGAUGGGGUUAGCGGCAACGCGAAGCUCUUGAUCGAAGCCCCGGUAAACGGCGGCCGUAACUAUAACGGUCCUAAGGUAGCGAAAUUCCUUGUCGGGUAAGUUCCGACCUGCACGAAUGGCGUAAUGAUGGCCAGGCUGUCUCCACCCGAGACUCAGUGAAAUUGAACUCGCUGUGAAGAUGCAGUGUACCCGCGGCAAGACGGAAAGACCCCGUGAACCUUUACUAUAGCUUGACACUGAACACUGGUCCUUGAUGUGUAGGAUAGGUGGGAGGCUUUGAAGCGUGGACGCCAGUCUGCGUGGAGCCAACCUUGAAAUACCACCCUUUAAUGGCUGGUGUUCUAACGUAGACCCGUAAUCCGGGUUGCGGACAGUGUCUGGUGGGUAGUUUGACUGGGGCGGUCUCCUCCCAAAGAGUAACGGAGGAGCACGAAGGUUGGCUAAUCCUGGUCGGACAUCAGGAGGUUAGUGCAAUGGCAUAAGCCAGCUUGACUGCGAGCGUGACGGCGCGAGCAGGUGCGAAAGCAGGUCAUAGUGAUCCGGUGGUUCUGAAUGGAAGGGCCAUCGCUCAACGGAUAAAAGGUACUCCGGGGAUAACAGGCUGAUACCGCCCAAGAGUUCAUAUCGACGGCGGUGUUUGGCACCUCGAUGUCGGCUCAUCACAUCCUGGGGCUGAAGUAGGUCCCAAGGGUAUGGCUGUUCGCCAUUUAAAGUGGUACGCGAGCUGGGUUUAGAACGUCGUGAGACAGUUCGGUCCCUAUCUGCCGUGGGCGCUGGAGAAUUGAGGGGGGCUGCUCCUAGUACGAGAGGACCGGAGUGGACGCAUCACUGGUGUUCGGGUUGUCAUGCCAAUGGCACUGCCCGGUAGCUAAAUGCGGAAGAGAUAAGUGCUGAAAGCAUCUAAGCACGAAACUUGCCCCGAGAUGAGUUCUCCCUGAGACUUUAAGUCUCCUGAAGGAACGUUGAAGACGACGACGUUGAUAGGUCGGGUGUGUAAGCGCAGCGAUGCGUUGAGCUAACCGAUACUAAUGAACCGUGAGGCUUAACC
rnacentral:rRNA from 2 species